rnacentral:rRNA from 1 species
UCUUUCGCCAGGGAUGAUAAUGACAGUACCUGGUAAAGAAACCCCGGCUAACUCCGUGCCAGCAGCCGCGGUAAUACGGAGGGGGUUAGCGUUGUUCGGAAUUACUGGGCGUAAAGCGCGCGUAGGCGGAUUGGAAAGUUGGGGGUGAAAUCCCAGGGCUCAACCCUGGAACUGCCUUCAAAACUCCCAGUCUAGAGUUCGAGAGAGGUGAGUGGAAUUCCAAGUGUAGAGGUGAAAUUCGUAGAUAUUUGGAGGAACACCAGUGGCGAAGGCGGCUCACUGGCUCGAUACUGACGCUGAGGUGCGAAAGUGUGGGGAGCAAACAGGAUUAGAUACCCUGGUAGUCCACACCGUAAACGAUGAAUGCCAGACGUCGGGUAGCAUGCUAUUCGGUGUCACACCUAACGGAUUAAGCAUUCCGCCUGGGGAGUACGGUCGCAAGAUUAAAACUCAAAUGAAUUGACGGA